rnacentral:rRNA from 1 species
GACGAACGCUGGCGGCGUGCUUAACACAUGCAAGUCGAACGGAAAGGCCCUGCUUUUGUGGGGUGCUCGAGUGGCGAACGGGUGAGUAACACGUGAGUAACCUGCCCUUGACUUUGGGAUAACUUCAGGAAACUGGGGCUAAUACCGGAUAGGAGCUCCUGCUGCAUGGUGGGGGUUGGAAAGUUUCGGCGGUUGGGGAUGGACUCGCGGCUUAUCAGCUUGUUGGUGGGGUAGUGGCUUACCAAGGCUUUGACGGGUAGCCGGCCUGAGAGGGUGACCGGCCACAUUGGGACUGAGAUGCGGCCCCGACUCCUACGGGAGGCAGCAGUGGGGAAUAUUGCACAAUGGGCGGAAGCCUGAUGCAGCAACGCCGCGUGCGGGAUGACGGCCUUCGGGUUGUAAACCGCUUUCGCCUGUGACGAAGCGUGAGUGACGGUAAUGGGUAAAGAAGCACCGGCUAACUACGUG